CGUUCCCAUACGUAAAAAAUUCCUGAUGUACCCUUAGGCCUAGCAACUUAACUAAAAUCGAUGAGAGAUUGAGAGGUAAAGAAAUUUCGUUUAGUUUCUAAGGUUUCUUUGCUGCGCAACUAAUUUUUGUCUGAAAAAUGGAGAUUCACGAAAAUUGAUCGUAGAAAUUAAUAUGUAGGUCUGAUUUGAGUUGUUUUACAAUGCUUCGAUCAUGAAUUUGUUGUUCGGUUUGUCGAAAUUGGUGAGUAAGUUACUGGACGGACCUGCAAUUUUUGUGGACAGUGCAAAUUUUGUCAGAACAGUGCAAUCAAUUCAUUAACAUGUUUUGCCAAGUGUAUUGAUCCCAUGAAUCAUUUGAGGAGACACAGAAGACUCUUGGACAGUGUUGAACUAACUUGUGUCGGAGGAAGGAUGCAUCUCUUUAAUGGGGUUCUGUAUAGCUCUCGAUAAUUCGAUGACCUGUCCUGUUCCUUUUUCUCCUUUCUCUUUACUGUCAAGAUAAAUGUAGUUCAUUAUUAUGUGAGGUAAAGAUUUGUAAUCAUAUUACCCAUUUGGGUUUGUAA